rnacentral:rRNA from 1 species
UAGUCCACGCCGUAAACUAUGAGAGCUAGCCGUUGGGAAGUUUACUUCUCAGUGGCGCAGCUAACGCAUUAAGCUCUCCGCCUGGGGAGUACGGUCGCAAGAUUAAAACUCAAAUGAAUUGACGGGGGCCCGCACAAGCGGUGGAGCAUGUGGUUUAAUUCGAAGCAACGCGAAGAACCUUACCAGCUCUUGACAUACCUAUCGCAGUCUCCAGAGAUGGAGACCUUCAGUUCGGCUGGAUAGGAUACAGGUGCUGCACGGCUGUCGUCAGCUCGUGUCGUGAGAUGUUGGGUUAAGUCCCGCAACGAGCGCAACCCUCGCCCUUAGUUGCCAGCAUUUAGUUGGGCACUCUAGGGGGACUGCCGGUGAUAAGCCGGAGGAAGGUGGGGACGACGUCAAGUCAUCAUGGCCCUUACGGGCUGGGCUACACACGUGCUACAAUGGCGGUGACAGAGGGCAGCCACUCCGCGAGGAGGAGCUAAUCCCUAAAAACCGUCUC